rnacentral:rRNA from 1 species
AGAGUUUGAUCCUGGCUCAGAUUGAACGCUGGCGGCAUGCCUUACACAUGCAAGUCGAACGGUAACGGGUCUUCGGAUGCUGACGAGUGGCGAACGGGUGGGUAAUACAUCGGAACGUGCCCGAUCGUGGGGGAUAACGAGGCGAAAGCUUUGCUAAUACCGCAUACGAUCUACGGAUGAAAGCGGGGGAUCUUCGGACCUCGCGCGGACGGAGCGGCCGAUGACAGAUUAGGUAGUUGGUGGGAUAAAAGCUUACCAAGCCGACGAUCUGUAGCUGGUCUGAGAGGAUGAUCAGCCACACUGGGACUGAGACACGGCCCAGACUCCUACGGGAGGCAGCAGUGGGGAAUUUUGGACAAUGGGCGAAAGCCUGAUCCAGCCAUGCCGCGUGCAGGAUGAAGGCCUUCGGGUUGUAAACUGCUUUUGUACGGAACGAAAAGCCUCUUUCU